rnacentral:lncRNA from 1 species
AAAUAUUUUCAUUGUACUUAACCGCCAGCUCAGUUAUAUAUGACUGGUUAUGGCAUCAUAACUUGAUGUCAGUUCGGCUACGAGUCUGCACAGCAUUUCUUGUGCAAAAACAGCGGUCCUCAAUAACAAAAUGUUUGUUGCUUCUUUCAGUACAUUCGACUGCGGUUUGCUCCCUACAUCUCAUUAACCAUCUCAGUCAUCUACAUCUUUGGUUCGCAAUGCCUUGGUGCGCUGGCCAUUUUUGCGGCAAGCCUGACGAUUGCAACAGUAUUCGGAGUUUCGCUGCUCUGGAGUAACAUCAUAAUUGGACUGUGCGCGACAUGUUACACGGCACUGGGUGGACUCAGAGGUGUCGUCUGGACAGACUGCAUGCAGUUAGUCUUCAUCCUGCUGGGACCGGCAACUGUCAUAGCGAAGGUCAUCAUAGACUCGAGAAGUUCUGCAACGGCGAUACAACCAGUAGAUGAUUUCAAUUUGCGCCCAUACAU